AAUGAACGUUGGCGGCGUGGAUUAGGCAUGCAAGUCGAGCGAGAACCGUAGCAAUACGGGGACAGCGGCGAAAGGGACAGUAAUGUGUAGGUACCUACCCCUGGAUCUGGGAUAGCUGCGGGAAACUGCAGGUAAUACCGGAUAAUGUCUCCGGACCAAAGGUGUGAUUCCGUCUGGGGAGGGGCCUGCAUCCUAUUAGCUAGUUGGCGGGGUAACGGCCCACCAAGGCGACGAUGGGUAGCGGGUGUGAGAGCACGACCCGCGUCAUUGGGACUGGGACACUGCCCAGACACCUACAGGUGGCUGCAGUCGAGGAUCUUCGGCAAUGGGCGAAAGCCUGACCGAGCGACGCCGCGUGCGGGAUGAAGGCCUUCGGGUUGUAAACCGCUGUCGUAGAGGAGGAAAUGCAGGGGGGUUCUCCCCUUUGUUUGACCUAUUCUAGGAGGAAGUACGGGCUAAGUUCGUGCCAGCCGCCGCUGUAA
rnacentral:rRNA from 1 species